CCGACGGUGAGAGGCGAAAGCUGGGGGCACGAACCGGAUUAGAUACCCGGGUAGUCCCAGCCGUAAACGAUGCUCGCUAGGUGUCAGGCAUGGCGCGACCGUGUCUGGUGCCGCAGGGAAGCCGUGAAGCGAGCCACCUGGGAAGUACGGCCGCAAGGCUGAAACUUAAAGGAAUUGGCGGGGGAGCACAACAACGGGUGGAGCCUGCGGUUUAAUUGGACUCAACGCCGGACAACUCACCGGGGGCGACAGCAAUAUGUAGGCCAAGCUGAAGACUUUGCCUGAAUCGCUGAGAGGAGGUGCAUGGCCGUCGCCAGUUCGUACUG
rnacentral:rRNA from 1 species